UACGUAGGGUGCGAGCGUUAAUCGGAAUUACUGGGCGUAAAGCGUGCGCAGGCGGUUUUGCAAGCCGGAUGUGAAAUCCCCGGGCUCAACCUGGGAAUGGCAUUUGGGACUGCAAGGCUCGAGUGCGGCAGAGGAGACUGGAAUUCCUGGUGUAGCAGUGAAAUGCGUAGAUAUCAGGAGGAAUACCGAUGGCGAAGGCAGGUCUCUGGGCUGACACUGACGCUCAUGCACGAAAGCUAGGGGAGCAAACAGG
rnacentral:rRNA from 1 species